rnacentral:rRNA from 1 species
GAUUGAACGCUGGCGGCAUGCCUUACACAUGCAAGUCGAACGGCAGCACGGGUGCUUGCACCUGGUGGCGAGUGGCGAACGGGUGAGUAAUACAUCGGAACAUGUCCUGUAGUGGGGGAUAGCCCGGCGAAAGCCGGAUUAAUACCGCAUACGAUCUACGGAUGAAAGCGGGGGACCUUCGGGCCUCGCGCUAUAGGGUUGGCCGAUGGCUGAUUAGCUAGUUGGUGGGGUAAAGGCCUACCAAGGCGACGAUCAGUAGCUGGUCUGAGAGGACGACCAGCCACACUGGGACUGAGACACGGCCCAGACUCCUACGGGAGGCAGCAGUGGGGAAUUUUGGACAAUGGGCGAAAGCCUGAUCCAGCAAUGCCGCGUGUGUGAAGAAGGCCUUCGGGUUGUAAAGCACUUUUGUCCGGAAAGAAAUCCUUGGCUCUAAUACAGUCGGGGGAUGACGGUACCGGAAGAAUAAGCACCGGCUAACUACGUGCCAGCAGCCGCGGUAAUACGUAGGGUGCGAGCGUUAAUCGGAAUUACUGGGCGUAAAGCGUGCGCAGGCGGUUUGCUAAGACCGAUGUGAAAUCCCCGGGCUCAACCUGGGAACUGCAUUGGUGACUGGCAUGCUAGAGUAUGGCAGAGGGGGGUAGAAUUCCACGUGUAGCAGUGAAAUGCGUAGAGAUGUGGAGGAAUACCGAUGGCGAAGGCAGCCCCCUGGGCCAAUACUGACGCUCAUGCACGAAAGCGUGGGGGAGCAAACAGGAUUAGAUACCCUGGUAGUCCACGCCCUAAACGAUGUCAACUAGUUGUUGGGGAUUCAUUUCCUUAGUAACGUAGCUAACGCGUGAAGUUGACCGCCUGGGGAGUACGGUCGCAAGAUUAAAACUCAAAGGAAUUGACGGGGACCCGCACAAGCGGUGGAUGAUGUGGAUUAAUUCGAUGCAACGCGAAAAACCUUACCUACCCUUGACAUGGUCGGAAUCCCGCUGAGAGGUGGGAGUGCUCGAAAGAGAACCGGCGCACAGGUGCUGCAUGGCUGUCGUCAGCUCGUGUCGUGAGAUGUUGGGUUAAGUCCCGCAACGAGCGCAACCCUUGUCCUUAGUUGCUACGCAAGAGCACUCUAAGGAGACUGCCGGUGACAAACCGGAGGAAGGUGGGGAUGACGUCAAGUCCUCAUGGCCCUUAUGGGUAGGGCUUCACACGUCAUACAAUGGUCGGAACAGAGGGUUGCCAACCCGCGAGGGGGAGCUAAUCCCAGAAAACCGAUCGUAGUCCGGAUUGCACUCUGCAACUCGAGUGCAUGAAGCUGGAAUCGCUAGUAAUCGCGGAUCAGCAUGCCGCGGUGAAUACGUUCCCGGGUCUUGUACACACCGCC